GGAGGUUUUGAAACCAACAGGGAUUGCCUUAGUAGCGGCGAGUGAAGCGGCAAAAGCUCAAAUUUGUUUUCUGGCACUUUCAGUGUCCGAGUUGUAAUUUGAAGAAGGUAUCUUUGGGUCUGGCUCUUGUCUAUGUUUCUUGGAACAGAACGUCACAGAGGGUGAGUUUCCCGUGCGAUGAGAUGUCCCAGACCUAUGUAAAGUUCCAACGAAGAGUCGAGUUGUUUGGGAAUGCAGCUCUAAGUGGGUGGUAAAUUCCAUCUAAAGCUAAAUAUUGGCGAGAGACCGAUAGCGAACAAGUACAGUGAUGGAAAGAUGAAAAGAACUUUGAAAAGAGAGUGAAAAAGUACGUGAAAUUGUUGAAAGGGAAGGGCUUGAGAUCAGACUUGGUAUUUUGUAUGUUACUCUCUCGGGGGUGGCCUCUACAGAAUACCGGGCCAGCAUCAGUUUGAGCGGUAGGAUAAGUGCAAAGAAAUGUGGCACUGCUUCGGUAGUGUGUUAUAGUCUUUGUCGAUACUGCCAGCUUAGACUGAGGACUGCGGCUUCGGCCUAGGAUGUUGGCAUAAUGAUCAAAAGUCGGGCG
rnacentral:rRNA from 1 species